ensembl:misc_RNA 7SK 7SK RNA
GGACAUGAGGGCGAUCUGGCUGUGACAUCUGUCACCCCAUUGAUCACCAGGGUGGAUUCGGCAGAUCUGGCUGGCUAGGUGGGUGUUCCCUUCCUCAAUCACUGAUCUGUAUGUAUCCCACCUGAAGCUGCGCGCUCAGUCGAAUAGAACCAUCUUCCCUGAACUGAGGAGGACUGGUCUUUGGUUAAGGGUAUACGAGUAACUGCGCUCCCCUGCUAGAACCUCCAAACAAGCUCUCAAGAAAACAGGCUGAAUGAGUGAUUAGGAGUAAACCAGUAAGCAGAAUUCGUCCUUUCUUACU